GACGAACGCUGGCGGCGUGCUUAACACAUGCAAGUCGAACGGAAAGGCCCUGCUUUUGUGGGGUGCUCGAGUGGCGAACGGGUGAGUAACACGUGAGUAACCUGCCCUUGACUUUGGGAUAACUUCAGGAAACUGGGGCUAAUACCGGAUAGGAGCUCCUGCUGCAUGGUGGGGGUUGGAAAGUUUCGGCGGUUGGGGAUGGACUCGCGGCUUAUCAGCUUGUUGGUGGGGUAGUGGCUUACCAAGGCUUUGACGGGUAGCCGGCCUGAGAGGGUGACCGGCCACAUUGGGACUGAGAUACGGCCCAGACUCCUACGGGAGGCAGCAGUGGGGAAUAUUGCACAAUGGGCGGAAGCCUGAUGCAGCAACGCCGCGUGCGGGAUGACGGCCUUCGAGUUGUAAACCGCCUUCGCCUGUGACGAAGCGUGAGUGACGGUAAUGGGUAAAGAAGCACCGGCUAACUACGUG
rnacentral:rRNA from 1 species